CAUGCCGUAAACGAUGUCAACUAGCCGUUGGGGACCUUGAGUCUUUAGUGGCGCAGCUAACGCGAUAAGUUGACCGCCUGGGGAGUACGGCCGCAAGGUUAAAACUCAAAUGAAUUGACGGGGGCCCGCACAAGCGGUGGAGUAUGUGGUUUAAUUCGAUGCAACGCGAAGAACCUUACCUGGCCUUGACAUAUCCGGAACCCUGCAGAGAUGCGGGGGUGCCUUCGGGAAGCGGAAUACAGGUGC
rnacentral:rRNA from 1 species